GGUAUAUGAGUCACCUGAUGACCCUUUGUAACCAGGUAGGGGGUGUGAUCUCAGCGCAGGCCGAGGCGUCGUGUUUACUGUUGCAUUGAGGCCAGAGCAGGACGGGGUUUAAUUUUCAUGCUCUGCGGUGAGACUCAUGGCUCCACAGAAGCGCCUAGAAAACAGAUCCGAUGUGGUGCAGGGUGGCCCCGCUAAGUAGGUGAGGGGCUUGGGGCGGAUCAGGACGCUUUGAGCUUGUCUCCUAAUUUUGUCAUUCAUGGAGCUAACUUUUUUUUUUUUUUUCUUUAAAUGGCUGUGGUGGGAGAGAAUUGUUUGGAGGAAGCAAGACCACAUGAGAGGUGGAGGUGACCUCGACCCAGGGUGGUGGCAGUGAGGACCUGUGCUUCUUCAAGCACGGCGAAGCUUCUUAAAGUCUAGACCCAAAAGACUAAGUUUCCAGGAAUUGGCACUGGAGCCAGAGAUGACACAGCCCCUGCUCUCAGGGCCACGAUGGAGGGAGGUAGUUAAGCACGGUACUAAUAAAAGAACCUUCAUCUGGGAAGUAGAAGUCGCUUCUGACCGACUGCUUCUGAAUCUCUUUAGGAUUCACAGAUGGAUUCCGUGGAAAAGACAACAAACAGAAGUGAACAAAAAUCAAGUAGAAAGUUUUUAAAGAGCCUCAUCCGGAAACAGCCCCAGGAACUGCUCCUGGUCAUCGGGACGGGAGUCAGUGCCGCCGUGGCCCCAGGGAUCCCCGCCCUGGGCUCGUGGAGGAGCUGCAUCGAGGCCGUCCUCGAGGCCGCGGAGCAGCUCGAGGUGCUGCACCCCGGGGAUGUGGCCGAGUUCCGCAGGAAGGUGACCAAGGACGGGGACCUGCUGGUCGUCGCCCAUGACCUGAUCCGGAAGAUGUCCCCUCGCACGGGCGACACCAAGCCCAACUUCUUCCAGGACUGCCUGCUGGAGGUUUUCGACAACCUGGAAGAGCACAUCCAGAGCCCGCUGGUGCUGCAGUCCAUCCUCAGCCUGAUGGAGAGGGGCACCAUGGUGCUGACCACCAACUACGACAACCUGCUGGAGAUCUUCGGGCAGCGGCACAGCAAGCCCAUGGAGUCUCUGGAUUUGAAGGACAAGACCAAGGUCCUUCAGUGGGCUAGAGGACACAUCAAAUACGGAGUUCUUCACAUUCACGGCUUAUACACAGAUCCCUGCGGGAUGGUGCUGGACCCGUCGGGAUAUAAAGACGUUACUCAAGACCCAGAAGUCAUGGACGUUCUUCAGAACUUGUACCGCACCAAAUCUUUCCUGUUUGUGGGCUGCGGAGAGACCCUUCGUGAUCAGAUAUUCCAGGCCCUCUUCCUUUAUUCGGUGCCGAACAAGGUGGAUUUGGAGCACUACAUGGUUGUGCUCAAGGAGAACGAAGACCAUUUCUUUAAGCAUCAGGCAGACAUGCUUCUGCAUGGCAUCAAAGUCGUGUCCUACGGAGACUGUUUUGACUAUUUUCCGGGGUACGUGCAAGACCUUGCCACUCAGAUCUGCAAACAGCGAAGUCCAGAUGCCGAUCGGGUGGACAGCACCACGUUGUUCGGUAAUGCAUGCCAGGACUGUGCAAAGAGGAAGUUAGAAGAAAAUGGAAUUGAAGUUUCAAAGAAACUCAGACAAUCAGAUACUGGUUUCCAUAGUCUGUACUUUCUCAUUCUUUAAAUAGUGCACUUAGGUUUUCUGACUUCUCGAUAUGAAGAUGCAGCUGUAAUGGCCCCUACCCUUCUCGCCUCCCUUCCUCGUCUCACUUCCCGAAGCCCACCAGUUUUUCCAUCGUCAGUGUUGCUCAUCGUGGUCACGGACUGAGGGGAAAGAAGCCCUCCAGUUUGUCUAUAGAUGAUGCUGGAGGGUCUUGAAAUCUUUAAAACCAAUAAAAACCGCAACUUGAAAACCAGCCUUCUGUAACCACAGUGCCAUCCCAAACGAUGAGGAAUGUUAGAGAACUCCGCACAGGACCUCUUGAUCCUGAACCGUCAAAUACCCCAAAAGAGCCCUGUGGGUGUGUGGCCCUCAGAGGCUGGGUGAGGGAGUUCCGUGUUGUGCUGAACUGCUUGGGAGGUGACGCAUACACACGGCAGGUGUCCUUUGUGAGGACUGAUACACAACUACCUCAGGGACCAAAUCAGUGGGCGGGGGACAUACCUGGUAUUCCCGACUCCCAUUUGAUAUGCCCUCUGUCAGGUGUUUUUUUUUUCUCUAAUAAAAGGGGGAAAGUAAAGACUGUCCAAGCAACAGUAGUUGCCAAAGAGAAAAUAAGACACUAGACACUUAAAUUUUAUAAUUUUUGUGGAAACAUCCGUUAGUGUAGAAAAAAAAAAUUAGAAGUGUGUUUGUUACAUUGUUAAAUAGUAAAGAAGGAAUGGAAACUGGAGGCAGAGUCUGCCAGUGAGAGCGGUAUGUUUUAAGAAUGACUUGACCUGUAGGCUUCUUUGGAGUUGUGUAAUUUCAGUUAGUACUUGGUCUCUAAAGAAUGGCAGGUCUAACUGUUACUGAGAAGUGAAGUCUCCAGGAGCCAGAGGGCCUUUUCAAAAGCACAGGUCAGUGUCCAAGUAUGUCACGUGAUGGAUAACUGAGAAAUUACAAGUGGAGCACAAGACCAAGUUCUAAACUUUUCGUUAAAUUCCAAGCUUUCCAAGCCUUUAUUCUAUGGGCUAAGGUCCAACCUUUCUGUUCUUCUCUCUUAAAAUCCUCUCCCCACAGCCCACAUUAAAGGAUUUGCACAGAGUGAAGUAGGCAAAACUUGUCAAGGGUCUGUAACACGUUAGACGUUGUCAGGGUUCGUGCAGGGCAGAUGGCGUGCUGAGCUGCGUGCCCGUGCCCAGGGAGUUGCUCUGUGGCCCUGGCACUGUCCCUGCUUGGUUUCUGUGUCAAGCCUGCCUGUCUUGUAGCUCCCCACGGGUUUAGGCAAAGUGAAGCAUGAAGUUGGGAUGUGUAGGGAAUGAGAGAAAAACCAGAGAGUUGCUUAAGACCUUUUUUUUUUCCUUUCUUUUUGAAGCAUGGAAAACAAACCUUUUAUGUUAUUCUUGUCAGA